rnacentral:misc_RNA from 1 species
AACGCACCUUGCGCCCUUUGGUAUUCCGAAGGGCAUGCCUGUUUGAGUGUCAUUAAAUUAUCAACCUUGCUCACUUUUACUAGCUUGAGUUUGGCUUGGAUGUGAGGGUUUUGCUGGCUUCCUUCAGUGGAUGGUCUGCUCCCUUUAAAUGCAUUAGUGGGAUCUCUUGUGGACCGUCACUUGGUGUGAUAAUUAUCUAUGCCUUGAGACUUUGAAGCAAACUAAUGGGAACCUGCUCAUAACCGUCUUCGGACAAUCUCUGACAUUUUGACCUCAAAUCAGGUAGGACUACCCGCUGAACUUAA